UGGUUCUGGCAUCGAUGAAGAACGCAGCGAAAUGCGAUAAGUAAUGCGAAUUGCAGAAUUUCAGUGAGUCAUCGAAUCUUUGAACGCACAUUGCGCCCUUUGGUAUUCCGAAGGGCAUGCCUGUUCGAGCGUCAUUAACACCCCUCAAGCCUGGCUUGUUGUUGGACUCUGCCCGGAGGAUUUCCUCCCGGGCUAGUCCCAAACGUAAUGACGGCGUCCACGGGGACCCUCAGUGCAACGAGCUUUUAACCAAGCACGCAUCGAGUUUCAAGGUCUACGCGGCACGGUCGACACCUUUUUAUUUUUCUAAGGUUGACCUCGGAUCAGGUAGGAAUACCCGCUGA
rnacentral:misc_RNA from 1 species